CCCUGUCCCUCCCUGUCUGACCAGGUAACACCCGGUACCCUGUCCCCUCCCUGUCUCACCAGGUACCACACCUGGUACCCUGUCCCCUCCCUGUCUCACCAGGUAACACACCUGGUCCCAUCCCUGUCUGCUGUCUCACCAGGUAACACACUUGGUACCCUGUCCCCUCCGUGUCUCACCAGGUAACACACUUGGUACCCUGUCCCCUCCGUGUCUGCUGUCUCACCAGCAGGUACACUGAUCAGCCAUGAGAAACUCCUGCUGCAGAUCAACACAGAGAGAGAGAUGGGCAACAUGGACUACAAACUGGGACAGGUAGGAUGGAGAGAGAGAUGGACUACAAACUGGGACAGGUAGGAUGGAGAGAGAGAUGGACUACAAACUGGGACAGGUAGGAUGGAGAGAGAGAUGGACUACAAACGGGGACAGGUAGGAUGGAGAGAGAGAUGGACUACAAACUGGGACAGGUAGGAUGGAGAGAGAGAUGGACUACAAACUGGGACAGGUAGGAUGGAGAGAGAGAUGGACUACAAACUGGGACAGGUAGGAUGGAGAGAGAGAUGGACUACAAACGGGGACAGGUAGGAUGGAGAGAGAGAUGGACUACAAACUGGGACAGGUAGGAUGGAGAGAGAGAUGGACUACAAACUGGGACAGGUAGGAUGGAGAGAGAGAUGGACUACAAACUGGGACAGGUAGGAUGGAGAGAGAGCUGGACUACAAACUGGGACAGGUAGGAUGGAAGGAGAGAGAGAUGGGGAACAUGGACUACAAACUGGGACAGGUAGGAUGGAGGGAUGGAAGGAGAGAGAGAUGGACUACAAACUGCGACAGGUAGGAUGGAGGGAGAGAGAUGGGACACAUGGGCUACAAACUGGGACUGGAGGGAUGGAAGGAGAGAGAGAUGGACUACAAACUGGGACAGGUAGGAUGGAGGGAGAGAGAGAUGGGACACAUGGACUACAAACUGGGACAGGUAGGAUGGAAGGAGAGAGAGAUGGGGAACAUGGACUACAAACUGGGACAGGUAGGAUGGAGGGAUGGAAGGAGAGAGGGGCGGA
ensembl:lncRNA